rnacentral:rRNA from 1 species
AGAGUGAACGCUGGCGGUAGGCCUAACACAUGCAAGUCGAACGGCAGCACGGUAAGAGCUUGCUCUUAUGGGUGGCGAGUGGCGGACGGGUGAGGAAUACAUCGGAAUCUACCUUUUGGUGGGGGAUAACGUAGGGAAACUUACGCUAAUACCGCAUACGCCCUUCGGGGGAAAGCCGGGGACCAGCAAUGGCCUGGCGCUGAUAGAUGAGCCGAUGUCGGAUUAGCUAGUUGGUGAGGUAAAGGCUCACCAAGGCGACGAUCCUUAGCUGGUCUGAGAGGAUGAUCAGCCACACUGGGACUGAGACACGGCCCAGACUCCUACGGGAGCAGCAGUAGGAAUAUGGACAAUGGGCGCAAGCCUGAUCCAGCAAAUGCCGCGUGAGUGA